rnacentral:rRNA from 1 species
UACAGAGGGUGCAAGCGUUAAUCGGAAUUACUGGGCGUAAAGCGUGCGUAGGCGGUUACGUAAGUCAGAUGUGAAAGCCCCGGGCUCAACCUGGGAAUUGCAUUUGAGACUGCGUAGCUAGGGUGCGGAAGAGGGAAGCGGAAUUUCCGGUGUAGCGGUGAAAUGCGUAGAUAUCAGGAGGAACACCAAUGGCGAAGGCAGCACGCUGGGACGUUACUGACGCUGAGACGCGAAAGCGAGGGGAGCAAACAGG